rnacentral:rRNA from 1 species
UACAGAGGGGGCAAGCGUUGUUCGGAAUUACUGGGCGUAAAGGGCGCGUAGGCGGCCUGUUAAGUCGAACGUGAAAUCCCUGGGCUCAACCCAGGAACUGCGUCCGAUACUGGCAGGCUUGAAUCCGGGAGAGGGAUGUGGAAUUCCAGGUGUAGCGGUGAAAUGCGUAGAUAUCGGGAGGAACACCAGUGGCGAAGGCGACUUCCUGGCCUGUUCUUGACGCUGAGGCGCGAAAGCUAGGGUAGCAAACGGG